GUUGAAGUUUUUAAGGGCGCACGGUGGAUGCCUUGGCAUCAAGAGCCGAUGAAGGACGUGGGAAUCUGCGAUAAGCCUGGUGGAGUCGAUAACCGGACGUUGAGGCCAGGAUUUCCGAAUGGGGGAACCCCGCACCAUGUUAUGUGGUGUGACCUGCAGCUGAAUGUAUAGGCUGUGUGGAGGGAACGCGGGGAAGUGAAACAUCUCAGUACCCGCAGGAAGAGAAAACAAUAGUGAUUCCGUUAGUAGUGGCGAGCGAACGCGGAUGGGGCUAAACCGGUUGGUGUGUGAUAGCGGAUAGGCGUUGCAUCAUCGGGGUUGUGGGGUCCACAUGUACCAGUUCUAUCUACGCUGGUGGGAUGAGGUGCAGGCGUAUAGGUGAAUCGGUUGGAAUGCCGGACCAGAGAGGGUGAUAGUCCCGUAGGUGUAAUGCGUGUCUGCCGUUCUUGUGUGGAUGCCCGAGUAGCACGGGGCCCGUGAAACCUUGUGUGAAUCUGCCAGGACCACCUGGUAAGCCUGAAUACUACUUGAUGACCGAUAGUGAAUCAGUACCGUGAGGGAAUGGUGAAAAGUACCCCGGGAGGGGAGUGAAAUAGUACCUGAAACCGUGCGCUUACAAUCCGUUAGAGCAGCCACUUGUGGUUGUGAUGGCGUGCCUUUUGAAGAAUGAGCCUGCGAGUUAGUGUUACGUCGCGAGGUUAACCCGUGGGGGGAAGCCGUAGCGAAAGCGAGUCUGAAUAGGGCGAGUGAGUGGCGUGAUCUAGACCCGAAGCGAAGUGAUCUACCCAUGGCCAGGUUGAAGCGCGUGUAAGAGCGUGUGGAGGACCGAACCCACUUCAGUUGAAAAUGGAGGGGAUGAGCUGUGGGUAGGGGUGAAAGGCCAAUCAAACUUCGUGAUAGCUGGUUCUCCCCGAAAUGCAUUUAGGUGCAGCGUUGCGUGUUUCUUGCUGGAGGUAGAGCUACUGGAUAGGCGAUGGGCCCUACAAGGUUACUGACCUUAGCCAAACUCCGAAUGCCGGUAAGUUAGAGCGCAGCAGUGAGACUGUGGGGGAUAAGCUUCAUAGUCGAGAGGGAAACAGCCCAGAACGCCAACUAAGGCCCCUAAGCGUGUGCUAAGUGGGAAAGGAUGUGGAGUUGCUGUGACAACCAGGAGGUUGGCUUAGAAGCAGCCACCCUUGAAAGAGUGCGUAAUAGCUCACUGGUCAAGUGAUUCCGCGCCGAUAAUGUAGCGGGGCUCAAGCACACCGCCGAAGUUGCGUCAUUCAAACAUGUCAUUGGCCUUUGUGGUCCAGUGGUUUGGAUGGGUAGGGGAGCGUCGUGUGGACGGUGAAGUCGCGGUGGAAACCAGCGGUGGAGGCCACACGAGUGAGAAUGCAGGCAUGAGUAGCGAAUGACGGGUGAGAAACCCGUCCGCCGAAUGAUCAAGGGUUCCAGGGUCAAGCUAAUCUGCCCUGGGUUAGUCGGGACCUAAGGCGAGGCCGACAGGCGUAGUCGAUGGACAACGGGUUGAUAUUCCCGUACCGGCGAAGGACCGCCCAUACUGAGCAAUGGAUGCUAACCAUGACGGAUUCCAGCGUUGAUGCCUUUUAGGUGUCUUGUUGGUUGGUGUGGUGGGAACCGAUGUUGUGAGGUCAGCGUAUUAACAGGUGUGACGCAGGAAGGUAGCCGAGCCAGGCAAUGGAAUUGACCUGGUCCAAGGGUGUAGGAAGAACGGUAGGCAAAUCCGCUGUUCAUUGUUUCUGAGACCUGAUAGGCGCCCCGUUUGUGGGGUGAUUCGGUGAUCCUAUGCUGCCUAGAAAAGCAUCGGCGCGAGGUCCCAGUCCGCCCGUACCCUAAACCGACACAGGUGAUCAGGUAGAGAAUACUAAGGCGAUCGAGAGAAUCAUGGUUAAGGAACUCGGCAAAAUGCCCCCGUAACUUCGGAAGAAGGGGGGCCUGCCCCGUGA
rnacentral:ncRNA from 1 species